ensembl:snoRNA SNORA70 Small nucleolar RNA SNORA70
CUGCAGCCAAUAAGCCCCUUGGACUCCUUUAUUCGUGGGUCCCUGUGUACAAUGGCUGCAAACAGUAGUCUCCUUUAGUGCACACAGCCUGUUGCUAUAUGGUUGCCCUAAGGGACCUGGGAGGCAGCC